rnacentral:rRNA from 1 species
UAGGUGAACCUGCGGAAGGAUCAUUAUCGAGUUUUGAACGGGUUGUCUGCUGGCUCGCAAGGGCAUGUGCACGCCUGUCUCAUCCACUCUCAACUUCUGUGCACUUUUCAUAGGCCGGCUUGUGGGUGCGUUCGCGCACUUGUAGGUGUCGGGCUUAUGCUUUACUACAAACGAUUCAGUUUUAGAAUGUCAUACUUUGCUAUAACGCAAUUUAUAUACAACUUUCAGCAACGGAUCUCUUGGCUCUCGCAUCGAUGAAGAACGCAGCGAAAUGCGAUAAGUAAUGUGAAUUGCAGAAUUCAGUGAAUCAUCGAAUCUUUGAACGCACCUUGCGCUCCUUGGUAUUCCGAGGAGCAUGCCUGUUUGAGUCUCAUGGAAUUCUCAACCUUCGGCUUUAUUGACGAGGGCUUGGACUUGGAGGUCGUGCCGGCUCUCGUAGUCGGCUCCUCUGAAAUGCAUUAGUGCGAACGUUACCAGCCGCUUCAGCGUGAUAAUUAUCUGCGUUGCUGUGGAGGGUAUUCUAGUGUGCGCGCUUCUAACCGUCUUCGGACAAAUUUCUGAGCUCUGAGCUCAAAUCAAGUA